UACGAAGGGGGCUAGCGUUGCUCGGAAUGACUGGGCGUAAAGGGCGCGUAGGCGGUUUGGUCAGUCAGAUGUGAAAUUCCUGGGCUCAACCUGGGGGCUGCAUUUGAUACGUUCGGACUAGAGUGGGGAAGAGGGUCGUGGAAUUCCCAGUGUAGAGGUGAAAUUCGUAGAUAUUGGGAAGAACACCGGUGGCGAAGGCGGCGACCUGGUCCGUGACUGACGCUGAGGCGCGAAAGCGUGGGGAGCAAACAGG
rnacentral:rRNA from 1 species